rnacentral:rRNA from 1 species
CCUAUGGGUGGCAGCAGUGGGGAAUAUUGCACAAUGGGGGAAACCCUGAUGCAGCAACGCCGCGUGAGUGAAGAAGGUUUUCGGUUUGUAAAGCUCUGUCAGCAGGGAAGAGGAUGACGGUAACUUAUUGAGAAGCCCCCGCUAACUACGUGCCAGCAGCCGCGGGAAAACGUAGGGGGCAAGCGUUAUCCGGAUUUACUGGGUGUAAAGGGAGCGUAGACGGUAGAACAAGUCUGUAGUGAAAUGCCGGGGCUUAACCUCGGAACUGCUUUUGAAACUGUGUAGCUAGAGUGCAGGAGAGGUAAGUGGAAUUCCUAGUGUAGCGGUGAAAUGCGUAGAGAUUAGGAGGAACACCAGUGGCGAAGGCGGCUUACUGGACUGUAACUGACGCUGAGGCUUGAGAGCGUGGGGAGCAAACAGGAUUAGAUACCCGGGUAGUC